UACAGGAGGGUGCGAGCGUUAAUCGGAAUUACUGGGCGUAAAGCGUGCGCAGGCGGUUUUGUAAGUCUGUCGUGAAAUCCCCAGGCUCAACCUGGGAACUGCGUCCGAUACUGGAUGGCUUGAAUCCGGGAGAGGGAUGCAGAAUUCCAGGUGUAGCGGUGAAAUGCGCAGAUAUCAGGAGGAACACCGAUGGCGAAGGCAGGUCACUGGGCCGCAACUGGACGCUGGAGGAAGCGGAAAGCAUGGGGAGCGAACAGG
rnacentral:rRNA from 1 species